CUAGUUUUAUUAUGGACCAUUGGAUGGGAUCGAUGGCCGGGAUUUAAUUUAUGUGAGAUAUUUUUGUUGCCUUGUCUUGGGGGAGAAGCUUUGACUAGAUGGUUACCACAAAAAGGGCUUUCCCCACGUUUUGGCAGGACAGGUCUUUUCUCUCUUCUCCAGUCGACCACUCUCUCCAUUUUUGCACCUUCUUGUGAGCUUCUUCUUGAGAGUCUCUUGAGAUAACUUAGGCCUGGAAUGUGGCUAAGUAUGGGUGAACUUUCUCAAAGCUUUGUAGAAGGUUGAGGGUGCGUUGGUGACGGUUUCUAUCGAGGUUCAUUGCUGGUUUCUCUCUCUCUCUUUGGAAGGUGAUUUGCAUGACAUGGGAGCUGUUCCUGAGCCUAUAAAUCAGCCAUAAGGAAGAGGAGAAGUUGCUGUCCAUUUCGGCCGAGAUUGGGUUGUGUUUUUCCAUUUUAUAUUCCUUGAUUUUGCCUUGGAAUCUUUUAUUGAUUGAUGUUUAUUGUUUGAUUGAACUCCAAGGAUCCCAACAAACUGGUAUCAGAGCAAGGAGGAGUGAAAUCUGUCCAAAAAUCGAUCGAAACCUCCAAGGAAAUUGCAAUUCCCACUUUUCGCCGAAUUUGGAACUUCAAAUUCCGGCCAAACUACUGACUUUUUGGCGAAACUGACCCUGGACCCAUAACCAACAGACGAAGGCGCUCCUUGUGGUGGGGCGCGUGACCGGAGCGACGAGCUUUUUUCGGACAGUUUACUUAUUUCGAUGUCCUGAACACACUGAUGUCGUUUGUUUUCUAUUUCAGGUUUUACAGAAACAGUUGGACGAUUUUGCCCCUGGCUUGACGUCUACAGCAAUUCGGUUCAGAAACUUGGUGGUAUAUUUACUGUUUUUUAACAGUAGUUUGGUAGGAUUAUUCCAAAUUCUCCGUUAGGUUAAGUUUGGUAUCCUUACCGGUUUAUGCAUGAUUAUUGCUUGGUUGCCUAUUUGUGAAUUCCGUUGAUUGAAUUCUUGUGAUUAAUUUGUAACCUGGAAGAAUAUUUACUUGCAUUAUAUACCUGUGUUUCGUGAACGGAUUAUGUCAUUGUUGUGCUUCAUUUCUAAAUUUUUUUUAACUCAACAUUCAUAUUUUUUAUAUUAAUCAUCUGGAAAAGAAUUUUUUAAAACCUUUUCUGUUUUGUCCACGAGUACAAUCCACUUUUUUACAGAAUCUGUAAUGGGUUCGAGGGUCAAAUUAUCGCAAUUCGAUGGAAAGGGGGAUUACUCGAUAUGGAAACAGAAAAUGAGGGCCAUUUUGGUCCAACAGAGAGUUGCUAAAGCUCUCGAUGAUCCCGCUACAUUUUCUGAUGAGUUAAAAGCUAAACCAACUGAAAUUGUAGACAUGAAUGAAAUUGCUUAUAGUUCUAUAAUUUUGCAUCUAUCUGAUAACAUUGUGAGACAAGUUGAUAGUGCUAAAACUGCUAGAACUUUGUGAACUGCUUUAGAUGCCUUGUUCUUAACUAAAACUUUACCUAACAAAAUAUACCUGUUGGAAAAGUUGUUUAGUUUUAAGAUGGACCCGGGGAAGGAUGUCGAGGGGAAUUUGAGUGACUUUAGUAUAAUUGUUAAGAGUCUAGCUCAUAAUGAUAAAAAAUUUGACGAUGAGGAUUUAGCUGUCAUAUUGCUAAACUCUUUACCCGAAUCUUACAGAGAAAUGAAAAAUGUUAUAAAAUAUGGUAGGGACACUUUCACUCAAACUAUUGUUUCCGAUGCUUUAAAAUCAAGAGAACUUGAAUUAAAAAGAGACAACAGAACUCAUUCCUGGGAAGAGAGUCCAUUUGUUAGGGGAAGACCUGAAAAAGAAAGAAUUCAACUUCCAUAACAAGAAGGGGAGAGGAAAAUCUAAAAUGAGAUCUAAAUCUAAAGAUAAAAGCAAUAAGAAAUGUUAUCACUGUGGAAAGUUAGGACAUUUCAAGAAAGACUGCUUCGACUGGAAAAGGAAACAAAAAGACCCGAACAAUUCUGAUGUUGAUAAUGCUAUUAUUGUUUCUGAAUUUGAUAGUUUGCAUGUCAUGAAUGUGUCUGAGGAAGAAUUUGACAAAAAUUGGAUUCAAGACACAGGGUGCACUUUUCAUAUGUGCCCUGAUAGGUCUUGGUUCUAUAACUAUAGAGAGAUUAAACCUAGGAAGGUCUACAUGGGAGACAGUAAUUCUCAAAAUGUGGUUGGAGUUGGUAACAUAGCCAUCAGAAUGUACGAUGGGGUCGUCACGCAACUCAGAAAUGUUAGAUAUGUCCCAAAUUUAAAGAAGAACCUCAUUUCCUUAGGUUCUCUUGAAGAUGAGGGAUAUACCUUCAAGUCUGGUAACAAGAUUUUGAAAAUUAUGAAGGGUUCUCUCAUAGUUAUGAAAGGGCCUAAGAGGAAUGGACUGUACUAUCUUGAGGGUAGAACUGAAAUACCAGUUAAUUCUAGCCUUCUUACUGUGAGUAAAGACAAAACUGAAAUUUGGCAUAACAGAAUGGGUCACAUUGGGUUUAAAGGGCUAAAAUCUUUAAGUAAUCAGAAAUUACUUGGAAAAGAUGACAUCGAAACUAUGGAAUUCUGUGAAACUUGUGUUUUGGGUAAGUCCUAUAAGGUGAGCUUUGAAGCUAGCUCUCAUAGGACCAGCAGACCAUUGGACUAUGUCCAUGCUGAUCUAUGGGGCUCGGAGAAGCACUCCACAUUUGGUGGAAGCAAGUACUUCUUGUCCUUAGUGGAUGAUUACUCAAGAAAAGUUUGGAUUUAUCCUUUGAAGGCUAAGUUGGAAACUUUUGGAAAAUUCAGGGUUUGGUUAAAGUCUGUUGAGAAUCAGUUAGACAAGAAACUUAAAACAUUAAGAACUGAUAAUGGGCUUGAAUUCUGUAAUAUCGAAUUUGACAACUUCUGUAAGCAAAAAUGUAUAACAAGACACAAAACUGUUAAAUACACACCUGAACAAAAUGGGGUCACUGAAAGAAUGAACAGGACCAUAAUGAACAAAGUUAGGUGUAUGUUGAUUAGCUCUGGCCUUGCGAAAGGUUUUUGGGCUGAAGCUGCAAGUACUGCAGCUUAUCUGAUUAAUAGGUCUUCGUCCAGCAGUAUAGGGUUUAAGACCCCAUAGGAGCUGUGGAAGGGAGAGCCUCCAAAUCUAGAACACUUGAGGGUGUUUGGAUGUGCUGCAUAUGCACACCAAUUUGAAGGGAAACUUGAGCCGAGGGCUGUCAACUGUGUGAUGUUAGGGUAUCUCGAGGGUGUGAAGGGCUAUAGGUUAUGGGUUUUAGGGGUCCAAGGCAUUAAGAUUAUUAACAGCAGGAAUAUAGUCUUUAAUGAAUUUGAGAUGCCAUGUCUAAAACAGAAAAUCGAAGAAACUAACAAAUCUGAAACUGAGAAGAGUAUUCAGACUGAGGUGAAGCUGACUAGGCUAAAUUCACCUACACCUGGGAAUGAGGAAAAUGACCCUAUACAUCAUGAAAAUGAAAAUGAAAUUGAAAUUGAACCUGAACCUGAACCUGAACCUGAAGAGGUGACUCAACUUCAAGAUAACAUUGAACCAGUUGAAGUUGAACAUUUUAAUGAUCAGCCACCUAAUCAAGAUUAUCAGCUUACUAGGGAUCGGGGGAGGAGGCAGAUCAGGCCAAAUCCUAGAUAUGAAUCCCUAAACUUGACUGAUUUUGCCUUGGUUUCAGGUGAAGCCCUUGAACAGAUAGAACCUGCUAGUUAUGAAGAAGCUGUUAGUGGAAAAUGUUCUGAAAAUUGGCUAAAAGCUAUGCAGGAAGAAAUGGAAUCUUUAAUGGAGAAUAAAACUUGGAAGUUAGUUAACAAACCUAAGGAUCAUAGGAUAGUUUAAUGUAAGUAGAUUUAAAAAUUGAAAGAAGGAAAUAAUCCUAGUGAUCCCCCUAGGUAUAAGGCCAGAUUAGUGGCAAAAGGGUUCACUCAAAAGGAGGGGGUUGAUUACAAUGAGAUAUUCUCUCCUGUGAUAAAGUACAAAACAAUCAGACUGGUUUUUGCAUUGGUUAUUCAGUUCAAUUGGGAACUGGAACAACUAGAUGUCAAGACUACUUUCCUACAUGGGGAAUUGGAAGAGGAUAUUUACAUGAGUUAGCCUUAAGGUUUUGAAGUGAAAGGUAAAAUAAACUGUGUGUGCAAAUUAGAAAGAUCUCUGUAUGGGCUUAAACAAAGCCCUAGAUAGUGGUACAUAAGGUUCGAUACCUAUGUACUGAAGAUAGGUUUUAAAAGGAGUGAAUAUGAUGCAUGCCUGUACUAUAAUGAUAGUAAGGAGGGCUGUGAGGUCUACUUGUUGCUGUAUGUAGAUGACAUGCUUCUAGCAAGAUCAAGUAAUACUGAAAUCACUAAGAUGAAGAACCUUUUAAAAUCAGAACUCAAUAUGAAAGAUUUGAGGAGUGCUAAGAAGAUUUUGGGGAUGGUUAUAAAGAGAGAUAGGGCUGAAAAUAGACUAGUCAUUUCCCAAGAAGCCUAUCUAAACAAAGUCAUAACUAAAUUUGGUAUGAAUGGAUCAAAAUCUGUGAACGUUCCCUUAGCAGCUCACAUGAAUCUUUCUAGUGCACAUUCUCCUAAAACUGAGGAGGAAUUUAGAGAAAUGAGGAACAUACCCUACUCUAAUACUAUAGGUUCCGUUAUGUUCUCUAUGAUAACAACCAGGCCUGACUUAGUCUAUGCUAUAAGUUUUUUGAGCAGAUUUAUGUCCAACCCUGGAAAGCCCCAUUGGGCAGGUUUGAAAUGGUUGUUAAGGUACAUUGUUAGUACAUUAAAUCUGGGUCUAGUGUAUGAAAAAAGAUCUGAAAAACUUACUCUAAAGGAGUAUGUAGAUUCUGAUUUUGCUGGUUACAAGGAUAACAGAAAGUCUACCACAGCUUACUUUUUUACACUUGGUGACAAUUGUAUAACAUGGAAGUCACAGCUGCAGCCUUUAGUUACUUUGUCAAGUACUGAGGCAGAAUAUGUUGCCAUAACCGAGGCGGUUAAGGAAUGUACCUGGUUAAAAGGAAUUUUAAAAGAAUUGAACUUCAUACAUGAUACACCUGUUAUGUUUACUGAUAGUCAAAGUACUUUAUCGCUUUGUAAGAAUCCUGUUUAUCAUGAAAGAACUAAACAUAUUGAGGUGAAGUAUCAUUUUAUUCGUGAGAAACUGUCUCAAGGUGAAGUUAAUCUUGUUAAAAUUCACGCUGAUAGGAAUCCCUCUGAUGUGGGAACAAAAAUUUUACCUGCAGGUAAAUUUAAAUUGUGCUUAUCUUUAUUACAUAUUGACACUGGUUAAUUUUUCUUGCAAGUAGUGGGCGAUGAUGAUUAACAGUUCUUUCAUGUGCAAAUUCGCAACCAAGAGAGAGUGUUAUGAGAACCAAGGUAAAUAAUGUGAGAAUAUGGUUCUCUUAACUCCAUUAGACUUAAGUGCUAUUUGUGUAAUUCACAUAGAUUAUGCUUGUCUAGUUUUAUUAUGGACCAUUGGAUGGGAUCGAUAGCCGAGAUUUAAUCUAUGUAAGAUAUUUUUGUUGCCUUGUCUUGGGGGAGAAGCUUUGACUAGAUGGUUACCACAAAAAGGGCUUCCCCCACAUUUUGGCAGGACAAGUCUUUUCUCUCUUCUCCAGUUGACCACUCUCUCCAUUUUUGCACCUUCUUGUGAGCUUCUUCUUGAGAUUCCCUUGAGAUAACUUAGGCCUGGAAUGUGGCUAAGUAUAGGUGAACUUUCUCAAAGCUUGGUAGAAGGUUGAGGGUGCGUUGGUG
rnacentral:lncRNA from 1 species